UUGUGACGCUGGUGUUAUGUACAGUAACUGCUAUUGUUUGUAAUGGAGAUGUAUUGCUGUAUACACUUUUAUAUAUAAUAAAGCAUUUAUUUACUUUUACAUAUACCAUGGUGUGUUCAUUUACUAGGGGGUGCAUUGGGCUAUUUUAGAAGUUGUAUUCUGUUCUGUUUUGGCCAUAAUUGAGCUAAGGAGAAUGCCGUGUACUUUUGCACAGAUGAUAAUAUAUGUAUAAGUUUCUAAAAGAGAAUUGUAUAAGCACAGCCUUUUUACUUAGAUUUUAUUAAACACCUACUGUAUAACCCAAUUCUCUCCUUCUAAUGCUCUUUGGUGUGUCUUUUGCAGUGUGACAUCUGGUCGCUGGGGAUAACCGCCAUCGAAAUGGCUGAGGGAGAACCACGUAAGUGAAUCAUAACAAUUGUGGCUACUUUAUUUUAUACAUUGAGCAGCAGAGGUUCUAUAUCAGAAUGGGAGGAAUUUGGGAUGAUUUGCCAUUUCCAGCAAAAAAUAACUUUUUCUAUAGAUUAAAUAAAUAACUUCUAGACAUGUUUGAUGGACCUGAUAUAUAUGUUUUUCACUUUCAGCAUACACAGGGCAAUACGCAGUGGAGGACCUGAUAAUUGAAGCCCAACCACCAAAGCUUCAAUCAAACACCUGGUCACAGCAUUUUGUGUCCUUCUUGGAGUCCUGUCUGAAAAAGGACCCUUUGGAGAGAGCGAGUGCUGAAGAACUCCUGCAGCACCCAUUCGUCACCCAACUACCACCUAAGAAGAUCGUCAGGGCUGAGAUUGAAGAACAUCUCCGGACUCUGCAGAACCUGCCGGCCAAGAAAGGACUGAAGGGAGUUGCUCUCUCAAAGCUGCGGCGUGCUUGUGACUUCUGCACACAGACAUCGGCAGAACAAGAAGCAGCUCUGCAAAUGGCCCUGGAGGGCUUCUCCUGUUAUUGAUAUUGUGGCCAAUAACAUCAACAGCCCAGAAUGAGUUUCCUGAAUCACAGCCGAGGAAAAAGAAACAUCCACAGGAUCCAGUGGCGUCUGCAGCUCCAUCAGCGACAUCUCCUUUCAAGUUGAUGCAGUUCAGCAAAUGGUAACUUCAAGAUUCCUGC